GCGAGAGACGGGAUUGAAAAAAAAAAACUGAACAGAAGGAGCCUCUUUCAGACAUCUUUCCUAUGUAGCGGCACUAUGUCUAUGGCAGAGCAAGUUUGCAGAGUAGAAACUCUUUGUUAGGCUUAUCCGUUUCCUUGAUCUGUAAGAGGCUUUGAUAUAAUAACGAUAAAAACAAUAAAAUA